rnacentral:lncRNA from 1 species
UGGAUUAGGGUUUGAUUAGGAUUUGGUUUAGGAUUUAGGAUUUGGAUUAGGAUUUGAUUAGGGUUUGGUUUAGGAUUUAGGAUUUGGAUUAAGGUUUGGUUAGGAUUUAGGGUUUAGAUUAGGGUUUGGUUAGGAUUUAGGAUUUGGUUAGGAUUUGGUUAGGAUUUGUUUUAGGAUUUGGUUUAAGAUUUAGGGUUUGGAUUAGGGUUUGAAUUAGAAUUUAGGAUUUGGUUUAGGAUUUGGUUAGAGAUUAGUUUAAGGUUUAGGAUUUGAUUAAGGUUUGAUUAGGAUUUGAUUUAAGAUUUAGAAUUUGGUUAGGAUUUGAUUUAGGAUUUAGAAUUUAGGAUUUUAUUAGGAUUUAAGAUUUAAUUAGUUUUGGCCUAAAGUUUGAAUGAAAUUCAAUAGGAUUUUGACUAGAAUUAAAUAUAGAUUGAAUUGAGAUGUAUUUGAAUGAUAUUUGUAAUCAUUCUAAUAUUUCUUUAAGAAUUCUUAUUGUUGGCUUGAAAUUUCUUUGAAGUUUUUUUGAAUUUGAUUAAGCUUGCUUAGCAUUAUUAUGGUCUAAUUAGAGCAUUGUUAGUAUUCUAUUAAAAUUAGGAUUUUGUUAUUUUAAUUUUCAUUCUUCCUUCCACGUCCAGGUGCUCAGAGCAUUCUCAAGCAAGACUUCAUGUAUUACGACAUAUAUUUGAUGAAUCUGACGUGAAACGCUUGAGGUGGAAGGAAUUUGGUUUAUUUUUUGAAUUAUUUGAAUUUUGGAGAAGGAAUUCAAGGGGAAUGGAUGGAGGAAUUCUUGAUGGUGCUUCAAGUGGAGUUGAAAGUGGUGCUUUAAGUGGAGUUGGAAGAGGAGCUUUCAUUGGAGGACAAGGUAUGCAUUUUGAUCCUAACUCUGCAAGCAUGUUUGAAGCUUUGGCCUUAUUCAUGCAACAACAGUAACAACAAGUUAAAGAUCGCAAAGAGAUUAUAGCUAACAAAGCAUUACAAGUGGUUGUGGACAAGAUCGAUCAAUUUGAAGGAAAGAAUAUUACGAAAUAUUUAAGAUGUUAUGUAAAGGAAAUGGAAUUGAAGCAAAUUUUAGAAAGGGAGAUGGUUCAAUUAUUUGAACUAGCCUCUGCACGAGAAAUAAGAAAUCAAGUAAAGACUCUUAUAGAACAUUUUGGAGGUUCAUAGGAGAAAUUUUUUCAAACAUUGAAGGAUGAGUUUUUCUUGGAAGAUAGUAAUAGGGUUAUAAAAAAGUUUUUUUUUGAAUGGAUUGAAAGGCUAGAGAAGGAUCUUCUAGCAACAGAAUUAUUAAGAGAGUUUGAAAAGCAAUAUUCUUCUUUAUCAAAGAAAGAAAGACAAUUAUUGGAUCCAAGUAAGGUGGAACUCUUUCUUCAAGCAGUUGAUAGGAAGUUGCAAGAGAAGUUAGAAAUCAUGCUUGAAGAUAAAGAAGAAGAUGAAGGAUUGACAACAAAUUAAAAAAAGAUAGAGGAUGCUAUAGGGUUGUUGACAAAAAGAGAAAGGAGAAAAGAUAGAGGGAGUGAUCAAAGACCAUUACAAGCAUCUAAGAUAAAGGUGUCUAGUAUCCAUUUGACAUCUUUGAUUCAACCUUCAAUAGCUACAUCAAAAAAAGAAGAAAUGGGCAUUGGUGAAAUCAUACGUGGGAUGAGAGAUUUCCAAAUAAAAUUUGUAAAACUUGAAGAGAAGGAUCAAUCAUCAAGAAUAUCAAUAAAAAAAAGACUAGGGCCAAUGGAGGGUGUAGUACAUAGGUGCAUAUGAUGUGAUAGCAUAGAUCACUCAAGGAGGGAAUGUGAAGAUUUUAUAGAGGCAUUACGUAAAGGAGUUUUUUUUUUUUUUUUUUUUUUUUUUUUUAAAGAUGGUAUGAUACAUUCAAAAGAAAGUGGAGAAAAAUUUGAAAUAAAUUUUGGUAAAGGAGAAAUGAAGUUGUUUGUUGGAGAUAUUUUAAAAGUGCAUACAAUCUCAAGCAAUGAAGCAUCAACAUAUUGGGUGGAAGCAGAUCCUAGUAGAUGUUUAAGUAUAAAUCUUGAGUUUCCAAGAGAAUCUAAUUCUUUGUAGACAAGUGCAAUGAGUUAUGUUGAAAGGAAAAAUUUUACUAGAGAUGAUUUAAAAUAUGUUGGUAAUAAUAUUCGACAAAUUACUGGGUAGGAUAAUCCAGUAGAUAGAUUAUCUAUACAUGCUCAUAUUACAAGGAGUCAGCAUGAAGCAUUAAUAGAAGAAAAAUGAAAGAGAGAUGAAAAUAAUGAAGGGCCCUCAAAAAGAACUACAAGGAGAGAAUAAGCACGACAACAAAAGAAUCCUAUUCAUGAAGAGACAAUAGAGAAAAUUUCUACAAAAGGAAGGGAACUUGAAAAAGAAAAAAAAAUGGCUCUUGCUUAUAAAUUACAAUCAGAUAUUGAAGCUGCUAUAGAUUUCAAGAAGGUAUUGGAGGAGUGGAUUUUAAGUGGAAAGGUUGAAUUCAAAAUUGGUGAAAUUCUAAGAAUUACAAAGCGUGAAUUUCAUGAAGUUUUAUUGAUAUAAUAAAGAGAAAAUGACAAUCUAUACGAGACUCUAUGACAUCAAAUGCACACAUGGAAACAAAAGUAAUGGAUGACGGUUUAGCCUAUGCAAGAAUAAGAAGCCAAGAUGGGAUGAAAGCAGUUCAAUUUUUAACUGUUUGUGCUAAUCAUGAGAGAAUUCGUGAUAAGUUGAGAGAGAAGCCAUUAUCAAAUGAGAAAUUUGAAGACCUUGAGGAUUUUUACCGCUCACCAUUGUAAGGCGGGGUUGUAAUAGAUUAGAGAAAGAAAAGCUCCUGCUUAAUUUAAAAGAAGAAAUAUUAUCUACCAGACUUAUUGGGAUGACACAAGAUUGUGUAUUGACUUUUAAGACUACUGACAAGAUGAAAAAGAGGGACAAAUGUUAUAUUAAAAAUAUUGAGUGAAACUUGAAAGAAAAUAGAGAAUUGGUUGAAAAUGAAUUUAUUUCAGGAGCAUAUGAAGAAGUAGGUUUUACAAAUACUAUGGGAGAAUUAAAUUAUCUAUCACAAUGUGGGUUACAAGUAGAAAAUAGAAUUAUUAAUGUAUGUUCUAAAGAAUUUUAUGAUGAAAUUCAAGGAUUUAUAGAAAAUUUAAGUCGCAAAGAGGUAUGUGUUGAAACUAAGUAUAAAUCAGUAGCAAGAAAGGUCAAACCAAUGGCUUUGCCACUACCAUCAGAUUGUGAAGAAAAGAUAAGUGGAGCAUCGACACAACCAAAUUUAAGAGAUCCAAGGAAGAUAUGGCAUAAAUUUAUGGAUGUUACAUUAGAUGGAUUAAAUAUUGGAUGUGAUGGAUUUUUGACAAAAUAUAAAGAAAAAUAUUUUAGAGAUAUGCUUUCACGUCAUGGAAAGGCUUUUGCAUUUGAGGCACAUGAAAUUGGGUGUGUUGAUCUAAGUAUUGUAGCAUCCAUGGUUAUUUUUACUAUUCUUCAUGAACCAUGGAAUUUGCGACCAAUUCUAGUACCAAAAGCACAUUUAUCUAAGUUAGUAGAUUUACUCAAUGAAAAGAUUAAAAUGGAAAUUUUGGAACCAUCUAUGGCACCUUAUUCUAAUUGAUGGUUUACAAUACCAAAGAAAAAUGGAACGAUGAGAUUUAUACAAGAUAUACAAUCCAUAAAUAAAGUGACUAUUAGAAAUAUGGAUUCAAGUCCUAUUGUAGAUGAAUUUGUAGAAGCAUUUGCUGGAAGAGCUAUUUACUCAAUGGGUGAUCUUUAUUCAGGUUAUGAUCAAUUUCAAUUGGCAAUACAAAGUAGGGAUUUGACAACUAUGAAGACACCAUUAGGAUUAGUUAGAAUGUGCACAUUACCACAAAGGGCUACAAAUUCUGUAGCACAUAUGAUGAAUGGAAUGCAAAAGGUAUUAAGAGAUUUUAUUCUAAGGAUAAUAAUGCCUUUGUUAGAUGAUGUACCUAUUAAAGGAUGUGAAGAAGAAAGAAAAGAUGAGACUUUGGAUUCAAAGGGAUGUAGGAAGUUUGUGAUAGAUCAUAUUAAAGAUUGUGAGAAGAUUUUGAAAAGAUUGGAAGAAGUUCAUUUAAUCUUAUCGGAGGCAAAAUCAAUGUUUGGAGUAAAAAAAAUUUUGGUGGUAGAACACAUGUAUGGUUCAUAUGGACGUAAGCCAAGUAUAGAAAAGAUUGAUAUUAUUAAAAAGAUGAAAGAAUGUACAAAUACAACGAAAGUGAGAAGAUUUUUAGGAGCAUGUAUUUUCUAUCAUAUAUGGAUACCUCAUUUUGCACAUAUAGCAGAUCCAUUGUAUGAGUUGUUAAGAAAGAAUCAAAAAUUUCAAUAGAAAGAAGAACAACGGAACGCUAUGGAAAAAUUGAAAGAACUUCUUUCUUCAUUUCCAACUUUGAAGAAAGUAAAUUAUGAAGGUAGAAGGCCAGUGGUAUUAACAAUUAAUGCAAGUCCAAUUGGAAUAGGUUGGACGGUUGGACAAGAUGAUGAACAAGGGAAUAGAUUUGUAGUAAGAUUUGGAGCAAAGGUAUUGAAUUCCAAGCAAAGGGAAUAUGUGUAUAUCAAAAGAGAAUUAUGGGAUGUAAUAAUAGCUAUAAUAAAUGAAAAAGAGUACUUGAUUGGGGCAUCAGUAGUUAUAAAAAUAGAUUGUCUACCUUUGUUAGGCAUGAUUAUAAGUUAUUCAACUCCUGAUAUUGCUAUGUUGAGGUAGAUAGUAUAUAUCAAAUCUAUGAAUCCAAAAUUUAAACAUAUUGCAGAGAAAGAAAAUUCAGUUGUAGAUAUGUUAUCAAGAGCAAGGUAUAUUGAUGAAGAAAAGAUAAUUGAUUUAGAAGAUUAUGUAGGUACAAAAUUUUAUACCAAUGCAUUAUCACAGGAAAAGGGUGUAUGUUUUAAUAUACCAUUGGAAACAUUUUUAAGAGAUUUAUUUGAAAAUAAAUGGAAGGAUGUUAGAAAGUAUUUGAAUAUAUUAAAGUGACAAAAAGGUUGGACAGAUCAAGAAUUUAAGAAAAUCCGUAAGAAAGCCUAUGGAUAUUUUUUACAUGAUGGAUAUUUAUGGAAGCAUCCAAAAAAGAGAGGAGAAGUACCACAAAGGGUGAUAUGUGGUUUAGAAGCUCAACAAAGGAUUAUUAAAGAAUUUCAUGAAAAUUUAUGGGUACGACAUCGAGGUAUUUGGGCAACAUUCACUAAGUUAAGACAAAAAUAUUGGUAGAAGAGAAUAUACAAAGACAUAGCAAAAUAUGUAGAAUCUUAUAAGACUUGCUAAAUGUAUUCAAAUAUUUGGCAUCGAGAUAAAUUACAUCCAACAUAUCCAUUGGCUUUACAUUACAAGUGGAUGGUGGAUUUAGUGGCAAUGCCUAUGGAACUUGGACAGAUGAAGUAUUUGGUACUUGCACGAGAAGAUUUAUCAAAUAUGAUUGAAGGACGAGUAUUAAGAACAAAGGAUACUAAAGUAGUAUGCCGAUUUCUAUUAGAAGAAGUUGUUUGUCGCUAUGGUUGUAUUGGAAAAAUUACGAUGGAUAGGGAUGAAUUGAAUGCAAAGGAAGCAUGAUAAUUCUUUAGUAGAAUAGGAAUUAAACUUUCUUUAACAACAGCAUAUAACCCAGAAGAUAAUGGUAAAAGUGAGCGUGGGCAUUCAUCUAUUGUUAAGGCAUUAGUAAAGGCAUGCAAUGGCAAAGCACAUGAAUGGCCUAAACUACACCAUUUGUACUAUGGGCAGAUCGUACAACUCAUAGUUUGGUAACAGGUUAUAUGCCUUCUGAAUUAAUAUAUGGACAAAAAUCAGUAAUGCCAAUAGAAGAUGUAGUACCUACAUGGAGUAUAUUGCCUUGGAAGAAUGAUCUCAACAGAGAAGAACUUUUAGCAUUACGGAUUCAACAACUAGAAAGAAGACCCAAUGAUAUUGAAAUUGCAAUAGAAAAAUUGAAAGAAGCAAGGAAAAAGAAUAAGGAAAGAUUUGAUAAAAAAUAUCGACUACGACCUAAGGCUAUUGAAGUUGGUGAUUGGGUAUUAGUUUAUGAUAGUAGCUUAGACAAUCAACAUAGCACUAUGAAGAAAUUUGUAAAGAGAUGGUUUGGACCUUAUAUUGUCAAAAAGGCAUACAACAAUGGAACAUAUUCAUUAUAAGAACUUGAUGGUACAGAAUUGAAAGUACUCAUAGCAAGCAAACGAAUCAAGUUAUUUAAAUAAAGAAAUGAAGGCAUUUUGAUGAAGAAUAAACUUUAAUACAAGAUAUUGAGAUUGGAAUAGAAGAGCAUAUUUAAGAUCAAGAAUUGUACCAAGAUGAAGAACAUUCUACAUCAACAUAUUGAAGAAUCGUUGGCACAUGCCGGAAGAUGCACAGAUUCAGGGUAGGUGGAUGUCGUUAUGUAACAUGAUUAAUAGGUGAAAGAGUGUGGAGAUUCUUAUAAUUUAAGAGAUCUUAGUUCAAAGUAUUAGAACAAAUUAUCAUAGAAAUAUAGUUAAUAAUCAAAGAGGUACAAAAAUUAAAAGGUACCAAUACUACCUUUUAGAAAGGUGACUUCUACUUACUUUGUAGUACCAUAAGUAAGGCAAAUCAAAGUAGAUUGGAAAAAUAAAUAAUAUAGACAUCUUUAGAAGGAAGUUAAGAGUAAUUUCUAGAAAAAGUUACUUAGAAAAACUAAAUAUUGAUACCCGGAGAGGGCCGGUUAUGAAAUAGGGUCGAAAUCAGACCCUGGGGCACAAAACCGAGUCUCGACGAUGACUUCGGGAUUCUUUUGGAGAUUGGAGAGUGAGAUUUGAUAGCAGACUGAAUAGGCUUUUUAUGAGCAUUAAUUUUGAGUGAUUUGGAAUUGAUAUGACUUUGUAAGAGCUUUACAAAGUCAAGGUUUGUUUUGGAUGACUUGGAUUUUAUGAAAUAAAAUAGGAUUUAUGUUUUGGGUGAUUUCAAGAGUUUAGUAAUAGAUCUACAAGUGAAAUUUUGUAAGUUUAUGGUUAUAGUUUUUUUUAAUAUGUGUCGUAAAUUUGAGCUUGAUCUAACGGUUGAAUUGAGGAAUAUUGAGGUUUAAGUAGGUUACGGUCUCAGAAAGUAGAACUUUAAGUCUAGUGGGGGUUUUUAAGAUUUCUUACAAUUUACUAGUUGGAUUGGAGUGAAACUUACAUAAAAGGAUAUAAGGCUUGUUUUUCUAUGUGUAUGAGAAUUUUGAAUUCAAUCGAAUAGUGCAAACAAGAGAUAUUGGCUUUGGAAGAUUGGCAUCAAGGUUGGAGAAGGAGGCCGACCAAUACCCGAUCAUGUUUUUGAGAUUAUUGUCUAAUUGGUAAUUCCGAUCCUUUUAAAAAAAAUUGUGAUUGUUUUUAACUUAAUUUUUAAGAAGUGUGAAAAAUUUGAAUUAAGAUCGACGGUUUAAUCAUUAGUUAUUGAGGUUUAAAUCUGUUAUAGGAAUUACUAGGGUUUGAUUAGGGAUUGGUUUAGGGUUAGGUUUUGGUUUAAGGUUUAGGAUUUGGUUAGGGUUUAGGAUUUGGUUUAGGAUUUGGAUUAGGGUUUGGAUUAAAAUUUGGUUAGGAUUUAGUUUAGGAUUUAGGAUUUGGAUUAGGAUUUGAUUAGGAUUUGAUUUAGUAUUUAGGAUUUAGAUUAGGGUUUGGUUAGGAUUUAGGGUUUGAAUUAGGAUUUGGUUAGGGUUUAGGAUUUGGUUAGGAUUUAUUUUAGGAUUUAGAGUUUGGUUUAGGAUUUGGUUUAGGAUUUAGGAUUUAAAUUAGGAUUUGGAUUAAGGUUUAGGAUUUGGUUUAGGAUUUGGUUAGAUAUUGGUUUAAAGUUUAGGAUUUGAUUAAGGUUUGAUUAGGAUUUGGUUAGGAUUUGAUUUAGGAUUUAGAAUUUAGGAUUUUAUUAGGAUUUAAGAUUUAAUUAGUUUUGGCCUAAAGUUUGAAUGAAGUUCAAUAGGAUUUUGACUAGAAUUAAAUAUAGAUUGAAUUGGGAUGUAUUUGAGUGAUAUUUGUGAUCAUUCUAAUAUUUCUUUAAGAAUUCUUAUUGUUGGCUUGAAAUUUCUUUGAAGUUUUUUUGAAUUUGAUUAAGCUUGCUUAGCAUUAUUAUAGUCUAAUUAGAGCAUUAUUAGUAUUCUAUUAGAAUUAGGAUUUUGUUAUUAUAAUUUCCAUUCUUCCUUCCACGGCCAAGUGCCCGGAGCAUUCUCAAGCAAG